rfam:Azospirillum sp. B510 DNA, complete genome.
GGCGUAUUUUGCUCAGGCGGAGCUCGACCGCCCGUUCAAGCGAUGAUCGCCUUCAUCGACGCGCACCGCGCUGUCCACGGGGUCGAGAUCCUA